CUCAAGCCAAUCAGUAAUCUGUUGCUGACCCAUCUACUAACAGCCUCCACUACUUUCUCAACAAAGCUGCAAUGUAAAUAUGACUCACAUCGAGAUUCAGUAACUUGUUUUUUAGAAGUGCAGCAGUUCUUUCAUAAUCAUUGGUUUUAAAAUGGUCCUUUUCCCAAAUCAGUUCAUAAUCAAAAAUACAGUAAAAUAAAAAGAUAUGGGUUUUAUGAUGUGAAUGGGAGUUGGAGAGAUUUAGUGUAAGGAAAUUGCACCCCUUAUUCAUUCACAGGAUGUAUACCAGCACCAAGGACUGUGAGGUGCUUGUGCCUGGCUUCCAGUGAUCCCGCAAACUGCAAUGGAAGGCAUACUAUGAUCUCCAGGACGAACAAAGAGAGGAUUACAGGUUGAGUUCAUAAGGAAUUCCCUGGGCCGUCUCAAAUCUGUACUUUAUCACACCGACAAUGUCUCUGACACCACCAUCACCAUCCCUGGAUAUGUCCGGUCCCACCGGCAAGACAGACUCAGCAAAGAUGGUGGCACAAUUGUUUACAGUCAGAAAGGAGCUGGCCUAGGAGCUGUUAACAUAGACUCUGGACGCAAUGAAGUCUCAUGGCAUCAGAUCAA